CCUACGUGAGGCAGCAGUGAGGAAUAUUGGUCAAUGGGCGGAAGCCUGAACCAGCCAAGUCGCGUGAGGGAUUAAGGCCCUGCGGGUCGUAAACCUCUUUUGCCGGGGAGCAGUGGUCCGGACGCGUCCGGACCGGGAGAGUACCCGGAGAAAAAGCAUCGGCUAACUCCGUGCCAGCAGCCGCGGUAAUACGGAGGAUCCGAGCGUUAUCCGGAUUUAUUGGGUUUAAAGGGAGCGUAGAUGGGUUGUGAAGUCAGUUGGGAAAGUUUGCGGCUCAACCGUAAAAUUGCAAUUGAUACUGGGAGUCUUGAGUACAGUUGAGGUAGGCGGAAUUCGUGGUGUAGCGGUGAAAUGCUUAGAUAUCACGAAGAACCCCGAUUGCGAAGGCAGCUUACUAGACUGUGACUGACAUUGAUGCUCGAAAGUGUGGGUAUCAAACAGGAUUAGAUACCCCAGUAGUC
rnacentral:rRNA from 1 species